rnacentral:piRNA from 1 species
GAGAACUGCUAGCUGCUGGUGAUGGG